rnacentral:lncRNA from 1 species
GGCACCUGAUUAUUCCAUAGAUCAUGCCAUAAAAGGCAGGUACUGCCAUCCUGCAUAGACACUGAGGCUAUUCCUUUGAAUUUGUCCAAGAGUUUAAUGAUGUCCCACCACCAGAAGGAGCCUUUAGAUAUAGUGCCUGGCAGUUUACCAUUCCCAUAGUAUUUUUCCCAUACUAGAUGAACCCACGGGAUAUCUGCUUUAUUAUAGAAUUUAUGUAAGAAUUUAAGCAACAGAGCUUCAUUUUGUGUCUGCAGAUUCAGUACACCUAGACCACCUUCCUUUUUUGGUAAAGUCACCAUGUCCCAUGCUGCUUUAGGCGGUUUUUUGUUAUUGAUAUCCGAGCCUCUCCAAAAACAGUGCUUUCUAUAUUUAUCCACUUGUUUAUAUACUGACUUAGGUAGCAGUAAGGUACUCAUAUGAAACAUCGGCAAGGCAGAGAAAAUUGAAUUUGUUAAUUGUAAUCUCCCCGCUUCAGAAAGUAGAUUUGAGGUGGACAAUAAUCUUCUUUCACACCGACUCACCAUAGGGAGAAAUUCCUCAAAUCUUGGCUUUGUCAAUCCCAGUGGUAGUCCCAAGUAUGUGAAGGGCAUUUUCCCUAUUGAGCAGCCAAAAGUCUGAGCUAACUGUUGUAUCCUUUCCUCUGAGAUAUUGAUUGGCACCAUCAUGGAUUUGUUGAAGUUUACCUUAAGCCCAGUUGAGGUGGCAAAGGACUGUAAAAGGUUUUUCAGGUGAAGCAGUUGCAAAGGGCAUCCUUCCAUAAUAAUAAGAGUGUCAUCAGCAUAUUGUAUGAUUGGAAAGUCCUGAUUAUGAUUAAUCUGAAUUGGUAGUUGCAGGUGUCUCUGUUCCUUCGCAUUGUUGAGAACUGACUGUAGCAGAUCUUCCCCAAGAACAAAAAGAAGUGGAGAUAGAGGAUCUCCCUGUCUAACUCCCCUUUUACAAGAAAAUCUUUUUCCUGGAACUCCAUUCAGUAAGAUAGAAGAAGUCCCUGAAUUGAAGAUUUGUUUCAUCCAUGUGAUCCAUCGUGAUCCAAAACCUUUAU